rnacentral:rRNA from 1 species
UACGAAGGGGGCUAGCGUUGCUCGGAAUGACUGGGCGUAAAGGGCGCGUAGGCGGAUUGUACAGUCAGGCGUGAAAUUCCCGGGCUCAACCUGGGGGCUGCGCUUGAGACGUGCGAUCUUGAGUGGGGAAGAGGGUCGUGGAAUUCCCAGUGUAGAGGUGAAAUUCGUAGAUAUUGGGAAGAACCCCGGUGGCGAAGGCGGCGACCUUGUCCUUGACUGACGCUGAGGCGCGAAAGCGGGGGGAGCAAACAGG